UUAAUCUGAAUGUCGUGAUGA
ensembl:piRNA 21ur-1088 ncRNA